rnacentral:rRNA from 1 species
CGGGGGGAGCAAGCGUUGUUCGGAUUUACUGGGCGUAAAGGGCGCGUAGGCGGCCACCGCAAGUCAGUUGUGAAAUCUCUGGGCUUAACCCAGAAAGGUCAACUGAUACUGCGGGGCUAGAGUGCAGAAGGGGCAACUGGAAUUCUCGGUGUAGCGGUGAAAUGCGUAGAUAUCGAGAGGAACACCUGCGGCGAAGGCGGGUUGCUGGGCUGACACUGACGCUGAAGCGCGAAAGCUAGGGGAGCGAACGGGAUUAGAUACCCCGGUAGUCCUAGCCUUAAACGAUGAAUGCUUGGUGUCUGGGGUUUUAUAGUCCCCGGGUGCCGUUGCUAACGCUUUAAGCAUUCCGCCUGGGGAGUACGGUCGCAAGACUG